UAGGGAAUCUUCCACAAUGGACGCAAGUCUGAUGGAGCAACGCCGCGUGAGUGAAGAAGGUUUUCGGACCGUAAAGCUCUGUUGUUGGUGAAGAAGGAUAGAGGUAGUAACUGGCCUUUAUUUGACGGUAAUCAACCAGAAAGUCACGGCUAACUACGUGCCAGCAGCCGCGGUAAUACGUAGGUGGCAAGCGUUGUCCGGAUUUAUUGGGCGUAAAGCGAGCGCAGG
rnacentral:rRNA from 1 species